CAGACCUUGGGGCGAUACGUUGCUGUUCAGUUCUUCAAGGAGGCGCCGAGCUAGCCGCAUGCUGGAGCGCAUGCAUUGACCCCUUUCGGAUCACCUCGAAUUUGGCACGUUCGGUCGCGCAAAGCUCCAAGCGGCACCAGCACGUGAUACAAACUGUGGCCUCCAAAAUCGGCUCGAGCGUAGCGCAGUCUCGGAGGCCAUGUACGAGUGCAGCAGAAGGUUCCUCACGAGAAUGAAGCCCCGGAGGGACUGAAUCAUUUGGCGG